rnacentral:tRNA from 1 species
GGGAAAGUGGCUCAGUGGUAGAGCGCUUGCCUUGCAUGCAAGAGGCCCUGGGUUUGAUCCCCUAGCACCA